GACUACGGCCAUACCACACUGAACACGCCCGUUCUCGUCUGAUCUCGGAAGCUAAGCAGGGUCGGGCCUGGUUAGUACUUGGAUGGGAGAAAGGCACCACAAUAUAGCGCCGCUGCUGGUAACA
rnacentral:rRNA from 1 species